rnacentral:rRNA from 1 species
AACUAAGCAUAUCAAUAAGCGGAGGAAAAGAAACCAACAGGGAUUGCCCUAGUAACGGCGAGUGAAGCGGCAACAGCUCAAAUUUGAAAUCUGGCGUCUUUGGCGUCCGAGUUGUAAUUUGCAGAGGGCGCUUUGGCAUCGGCAGCGGUUCAAGUUCCUUGGAACAGGACGUCACAGAGGGUGAGAAUCCCGUACGUGAUCGCUAGCCUUUACCGUGUAAAGCCCCUUCGACGAGUCGAGUUGUUUGGGAAUGCAGCUCUAAAUGGGAGGUAAAUUUCUUCUAAAGCUAAAUACUGGCCAGAGACCGAUAGCGCACAAGUAGAGUGAUCGAAAGAUGAAAAGCACUUUGGAAAGAGAGUUAAAAAGCACGUGAAAUUGUUGAAAGGGAAGCGCUUGCAGCCAGACUUGCCUGUAGUUGCUCAUCCGGGUUUUUACCCGGUGCACUCUUCUAUAGGCAGGCCAGCAUCAGUUUGGGCGGUUGGAUAAAGGUCUCUGUCAUGUACCUCUCUUCGGGGAGAACUUAUAGGGGAGACGACAUGCAACCAGCCUGGACUGAGGUCCGCGCAUCUGCUAGGAUGCUGGCGUAAUGGCUGUAAGCGGCCCGUCUUGAAACACGGACCAAGGAGUCUAACAUCUAUGCGAGUGUUUGGGUGUCAAGCCCGAACGCGUAAUGAAAGUGAACGGAGGUGGGAACCUUUCGGGGUGCACCAUCGACCGAUCCUGAUGUCUUCGGAUGGAUUUGAGUAAGAGCAUAGCUGUUGGGACCCGAAAGAUGGUGAACUAUGCUUGAAUAGGGUGAAGCCAGAGGAAACUCUGGUGGAGGCUCGCAGCGGUUCUGACGUGCAAAUCGAUCGUCAAAUUUGGGCAUAGGGGCGAAAGACUAAUCGAACUAUCUAGUAGCUGGUUCCUGCCGAAGU